rnacentral:rRNA from 1 species
AUUGAACGCUGGCGUAAUGCUUUACACAUGCAAGUCGAACGGCAGCACGGACUUCGGUCUGGUGGCGAGUGGCGAACGGGUGAGUAACAUAUCGGAACGUAUCCAAUAAUGGGGGAUAACUAAUCGAAAGGUUGGCUAAUACCGCAUACGCCCUACGGGGGAAAGCAGGGGAUCUUCGGACCUUGCGUUAAUGGAGCGGCUGAUAGCUGAUUAGCUAGUUGGUGAGGUAAAGGCUCACCAAGGCGACGAGCAGUAGCUGGUCUGAGAGGACGACCAGCCACACUGGAACUGAGACACUGUUGAGACUCCUACGGGAGGCAGCGGUGGGGAAUUUUGGACAAUGGGCGCAAGCCUGAUCCAGCCAUUCCGCGUGAGUGAAGAAGGCCUUCGGGUUGUAAAGCUCUUUCGCAAGGGAAGAAAACUUACUUUCUAAUAAAGAGUGAGGUUGACGGUACCUUGAUAAGAAGCACCGGCUAACUACGUGCCAGCAGCCGCAGUAA